CGGAUACGGUGCCGUUGCUUAGCGUAUACUUGACUUGGCUCAGAUAUCUCAUCAGCUGGCCCUAAAGAUUGUCCAGGGGCCAAGAAAUGAAGAAUACAUCGCGAAUCUACCUUUUCGUGGGGGAUAACGUAGGGAAACUUACGCUAAUACCGCAUACGACCUUCGGGUGAAAGCAGGGGACCUUCGGGCCUUGCGCGGAUAGAUGAGCCGAUGUCGGAUUAGCUAGUUGGCGGGGUAAAGGCCCACCAAGGCGACGAUCCGUAGCUGGUCUGAGAGGAUGAUCAGCCACACUGGAACUGACACACGGUCCAGACUCCUACGGGAGGCAGCAGUGGGGAAUAUUGGACAAUGGGCGCAAGCCUGAUCCAGCCAUACCGCGUGGGUGAAGAAGGCCUUCGGGUUGUAAAGCCCUUUUGUUGGGAAAGAAAAGCAAUCGAUUAAUACCCGGUUGUUCUGACGGUACCCAAAGAAUAAGCACCGGCUAACUUCGUGCCAGCAGCCGCGGUAAUACGAAGGGUGCAAGCGUUACUCGGAAUUACUGGGCGUAAAGCGUGCGUAGGUGGUUGUUUAAGUCUGUUGUGAAAGCCCUGGGCUCAACCUGGGAAUUGCAGUGGAUACUGGGCAACUAGAGUGUGUAGAGGGUAGUGGAUUUCCCGGUGUAGCAGUGAAAUGCGUAGAGAUCGGGAGGAACAUCCAUGGGCGAAGGCAGCUACUGGACCAACACUGACGCUGAGCACGAAAGCGUGGGGGAGCAUACAGGACUCAGAUACCCUGGUAGUCCACGCCCUAACGAUGCGACUGAUGUUGGUUGCAAUUAGGCACGCAGUUCGAAGCUAACUCGUUAGUCGGCCGCUUGGGGAGUACGUCGCAGACUGAAACUCACGGAUUGACGGGGUCCGCCGAGCGGUGGGAUUAUUGUUAAUCGAUGCAACGCGUAAAACCUUACCUGGUCUUGGACAUGUCCAAACUUUCCAAAAUGAAUCGGACCUCGACUCGACACAGGUCUGCAUGGCGUCGUCACCCGAUGCUGGAAAUGCUAGUCCCCAACGGUAACCUGUCUAUGCAACGCGUUAUUUGUGGAACUUCAGAUCCGUCAACCGGAAAGUGAAUGACCUCA
rnacentral:rRNA from 1 species